rnacentral:lncRNA from 1 species
AGGUCUCCUAAGCUUGACUCCUCUUCGGCAUGAGACUAAGGAAGCUCCCCAAGUUCCAGUCAGAGGUCUGAAUUUGUGAAUUUGCUGAGGCUGAUAGGACAGUGUGGGCUGUCCCUGAAAGUUGGAGGAGGUGACAACAAGGUUGGGGGCCUUCCAUAUGGGUGCCUGCUGUACCACAUAUCCAGUAAAAACAGAACAUUUACGAAUGAUAUUUACAAUGGCCUCCUCCAUGAGAAAGGAAAGAAGAAAGACAUAAAAGAGAACAAAGCCAGGCCAACUCUUAAAAAUUAUUUAAUAGAAAGUCCAAUGUCAAAAUGUAAC